AGGUCCCCUCCUCAAACCACAGCAGUAGCAGUGGCCCCUAGGACAAGCCCCUCUCCCCUCUCUGGGGCCUCCCAUCAGGACAGUCUCUCCACAUGGACUUAUUUCCACACUCCUCCAAUCUGAGGUCAUUUCCGCUUCUCCAGGCAGCACAAGGGAAGAGGAGGUGACAUGGCAAAGGGAAGGUUUGGAAGGAGCCGCGGUGAUCCCAUGGCUCUGGCAGAUUCCAUCUCAUGGUCCUCAAGAAGACGGAAAACUCAGAAUCCUGGUGGACGACCCUCAGGCCUUGAACCUGCCUGGGGAGCACUGGCUUUCUGCGAAGACUCUACUGCUGCAGCCAUCCUGUGAACCAAGCCAAGGCCCCCCUCCCUGGGCUGCCACCUCCUUGGAGGUGCGGUGCAGAGGAGAAGCAAAAGGUGCAUCUCUGGAUCUUGGGGAGCAAAGGAAGCCCAGCACCCAAAAGAUGAAUCAUCCAGGUCCCUGGCAGCAGAGGACUCACUACGCACCAGGCGCUAUUCUGGGUGCAAAGAGCACAGGAGGGAACAAACAGGUCCUUCGCUCUCAAGGAGCCUCACAUGCGUCUGGAGGAGACAGGCUAUACGCUAAGAAACAGAUCUGAUAAUUCCAGAUGAGAAAACCGAGGCUCAACAGGUGAAAUCCCUGGCCAAGUUCACUUGGGGAGAAGGGCGUGACCUAUGUCUUCAAAGACCAAGAUGGCGGCUAGAGCGCCAACCGUUAUACCUAUGGGAGCUGUAGGUCCAGAGAAGGUACUUAAAGCUUUGCAAUUGAUGAGCCUGACAAGCAAAUGGUUCUGCUGGAGAAGAGAAGCCCUAAGACUGAGCUCCAGGGCUCCCACAACAGCAGAAGAGAAGGAACAAGCAACAGCUCCUGAGUUUCUGGACUUCUCCCAGCCUCCAGACUUCUAAACCCAACUGUAUGCCUAACGUCUCCACUUGGAUGUCUAAGAGACACCUGAGAAUUAACAUGUCCAAACUCAAAUUCUGCUCUGUUUCCCAAAUCUGCUCCUGCUAUCACCUUCCUCAAUGGCAGAUCAUGGCAGCACCAUCCUUCUAAGUAUUCAGGCCAAAAACUCGGGGCCAUACUUGACUCCUUUAUUUCUCUCACAACAUACGUUCAGUUCAUCAGAAAAUCCUGUGGUUCUACCUUCCAAGGACACCCCAGCAUCUGAUUACUUCACCAUGCCUGCUGUUGCCCUGAUCUGAGCCACCAUCACCUCUCACCUGAUGCCUCAUUCUGCUCUCCCUGCUUCUACCCUCUCCCCCUUGGUCUGACUCAUAAGGCAAAUGACUUAGAAGUCUGCAGUGCCUUUCUAUUUCAAUUGGAGUAAAAGUCAUAUUCCUCACCAUGGGCUCUAGGCCCUUCGUGAUCUGAUCUCAGUGACCUUGUACACCAUCCUUUACGUCCUUCCACCCAGUCACUCCCUCCACUCCAGCCAUGUUGGCCUCCUGGCAUGAACAGACCAGGCACAUCCCACCUCAGGGCCUUUGCACCUGCCGUCUGCUUCAGGUUUUUACUUAAAUGUCACCUUCCCUGACUACUCUGUUUAAAAUGGUAACCCCGUCACCGAUAUUCCCUACUUUCCUCUGUCUAUGCUGUUCUUUCUUUGUCCAAAGUGCGUGUCCCAUCUAAUAUAUACCAUUCUCUCUCUCUUUUUUAUCUUAUUGUCUGCCUUCCUCUACCGGAAAGUAAGUUUCACAAAGGCAGAGAUUUUUGCUGCUGUGUUAGAAUGUUACAACCAUGCUGAGCACAAAGUAAACACUCAAUAUAAAUGUAUUUAAAGAGUGAGGAAAGGGAUGGAGCAAUGAAUAAGUGAAGGAAUUGCUCUCCCUGCCCAGGAGGGUUGGGCUGCCCGGAGAGGGCAGUAAAACAGGGGUGAUGAUGACCACCAUUGUGUCGCGAUGUACCCGGCCCUGUGCCAGCUGCCAGGUGUGGCCUGGUGGAAGCAGACACCUAAGCUGACAUUCACAGAAGCGGCUGGUAAAUGAGAGGACGGAGGGAAGCCCAGGGGCCUGUGGGAGCCCAGAGGCGCUUCCAUGAGGUGGUGACAUCUGAGCCCUGUCUGAAGCCACACCUUGCCAAUCAAAAAAUUUGAUUUUUAAUAUUAUAUACUGAAAUUUAUCAAUAUUUGAAAGAUCUGCAUGACUCAGUGAACCCCUUUUUCUCCCAAAUGGCCAAUGUAUGCUUUUACAAAAUCAUCCAUGGUAAAAGAUACAAAGUGCAAAAGAGACCAAUGGAUUUUAAUGUAACUGAGUAAGAAAAUCUCAUUGAUAUGGUUUGAUUUUUUUUUUUAUUUGGUUGCACUGGGUCUUAUUUGUGGCAGGUGGAUUCCUUAGUUGC